rnacentral:misc_RNA from 1 species
CCAAUAGCGUAUAUUAAAGUUGUUGCAGUUAAAAAGCUCGUAGUUGAAUUUCGGGAUCAGUAGGUCGGUCGUGCCACUGGUAUGAACUGGUCUCACUGGUUCCUCCCUCUUGACGAACUGCAAUGCUAUUAAUUUAGUGUUGUAGGACAUCAGGACUGUUACUUUGAAAAAAUUAGAGUGUUUAAAGCAGGCUUUGGCUUGAAUACAUUAGCAUGGAAUAAUGAAAUAGGACGUUCGAUCCUAUUUUGUUGGCUUCUAGGAUUGACGUAAUGAUUAAUAGGGACAGUUGGGGGCAUUAGUAUUCAAUUGUCAGAAGUGAAAUUCUUGGAUUUAUUGAAGACUAACUACUGCGAAAGCAUUUGCCAAGGAUGUUUUCAUUAAUCAAGAACGAAAGUUAGGGGAUCGAAGACGAUCAGAUACCGUCGUAGUCUUAACCAUAAACUAUGCCGACUAGGGAUCGGAUGAUGUUAAUUUUUUAAUGACUCAUUCGGCGCCUUACG